GGCUCUGUGGUGCAAUGAACAGCAUGUUGGACUUCUAGUCAAACACUGUGAGGAGUGAUGCAAAGGUUGUGGGUUUGAGUCCCACCAGCGUCU